GUCCACGCCGUAAACGAUGGAUACUAGCUGUUGGGACUUUAUGUCUCGGUGGCGGAGCAAACGCAUUAAGUAUCCCGCCUGGGGAGUACGAUCGCAAGGUUGAAACUCAAAGGAAUUGACGGGGGCCCGCACAAGCGGUGGAGCAUGUGGUUUAAUUCGAUGCAACGCGAAGAACCUUACCUGGGCUUGAACUGUUAUUGAUCGUGCCAGAGAUGGCGCUUUCCUUCGGGACAAUAUCAGAGG
rnacentral:rRNA from 1 species